rnacentral:rRNA from 1 species
GCUGGUCUGAGAGGACGAUCAGCCACACUGGGACUGAGACACGGCCCAGACUCCUACGGGAGGCAGCAGUGGGGAAUUUUCCGCAAUGGGCGAAAGCCUGACGGAGCAAGACCGCGUGAGGGAGGAAGGCUCUUGGGUUGUAAACCUCUUUUCUCAGGGAAGAAGCUCUGACGGUACCUGAGGAAUCAGCCUCGGCUAACUCCGUGCCAGCAGCCGCGGUAAUACGGAGGAGGCAAGCGUUAUCCGGAAUUAUUGGGCGUAAAGCGUCCGCAGGUGGCGAUUCAAGUCUGCUGUCAAAGCACGGGGCUUAACUCCGUUAAGGCAGUGGAAACUGAAUAGCUAGAGUGCCGUAGGGGUAGAGGGAAUUCCCGGUGUAGCGGUGAAAUGCGUAGAGAUCGGGAAGAACAUCGGUGGCGAAAGCGCUCUACUGGACGGCAACUGACACUCAGGGACGAAAGCUAGGGGAGCGAAUGGGAUUAGAUACCCCAGUAGUCCUAGCUGUAAACGAUGGAUACUAGGUGUAGCUUGUAUCGACCCGAGCUGUGCCGAAGCUAACGCGUUAAGUAUCCCGCCUGGGGAGUACGCACGCAAGUGUGAAACUCAAAGGAAUUGACGGGGGCCCGCACAAGCGGUGGAGUAUGUGGUUUAAUUCGAUGCAACGCGAAGAACCUUACCAGGGCUUGACAUGUCCGGAAUCCCGGUGAAAGCUGGGAGUGCCUUCGGGAGCCGGAACACAGGUGGUGCAUGGCCGUCGUCAGCUCGUGUCGUGAGAUGUUGGGUUAAGUCCCGCAACGAGCGCAACCCUCGUCUUUAGUUGCCAGCAUUAAGUUGGGCACUCUAGAGAGACUGCCGGUGACAAACCGGAGGAAGGUGGGGAUGACGUCAAGUCAGCAUGCCCCUUACGCUCUGGGCGACACACGUACUACAAUGGUCGGGACAGAGGGCAGCGAACCUGCGAAGGCAAGCUAAUCCCAGCAAACUCGGCCUCAGUUCAGAUCGCAGGCUGCAACUCGCCUGCGUGAAGGAGGAAUCGCUAGUAAUCGCCGGUCAGAAUACGGCGGUGAAUCCGUUCCCGGGCCUUGUACACACCGCCCGUCACACCAUGGAAGCUGGCCACGCCCGAAGUCGUUACCCUA